CGGGUGUUCGUGUGCCGUGUUACUGUCUCAUCUCUAUUUUCUCCUCAGCCGGUAGUUAUGGCCAUAGACUAGAGCUUGCAUGCUAGGUGCUCAUGAGGAGGUGGAGUUGCUUCCGUGACACUUCAAUCCCACUGUUGUGUUUGAUCGUAGCUAGCACCUAGGCUACAUGUGUAGGAUACGAGAUCAAAUAAAGAAAAUUAGAGAGC
rnacentral:lncRNA from 1 species